rnacentral:snRNA from 1 species
GUCUCCUCAGAGACAUCCUAUAAAUGAUACACAAAAGAUUAGCAUGGCUCUGGCGCAAGGAUGACACACGGAAAUCAGCAAAACAUCAAAAAGUUUU